rnacentral:tRNA from 1 species
GGGCGGUUAGCUCAGCGGGAGAGCACUGCCUUCACACGGCAGGGGUCACAAGUUCAAUCCUUGUACCGCCCACCA